rnacentral:rRNA from 1 species
UACAGAGGUCUCGAGCGUUAGGCGGAAUCACUGGGCUUAAAGCGUGUGUAGGCGGAUCGUUAAGUACCUUGUGAAAUCCCACGGCUUAACCGUGGAACUGCUUGGUAUACUGGCGGUCUUGAGCCAGCUAGGGGCUACCGGAACAAAUGGUGGAGCGGUGAAAUGCGUAGAUAUCAUUUGGAACGCCAAUGGUGAAAACAGGUAGCUGGGGCUGUGCUGACGCUGAGACACGAAAGCCAGGGGGGCAAACGGG